rnacentral:rRNA from 1 species
UACGGAGGGUGCAAGCGUUGUCCGGAAUUACUGGGCGUAAAGCGCACGUAGGCGGUUCUUUAAGUCUCAUGGUGAAAGGCUGGGGCUCAACCCCAAGCAAGCCGGGGAUACUGGAGGACUGGAGACAGGCAGAGGCCAGCGGAAUUCCGGGUGUAGCGGUGGAAUGCGUAGAGAUCCGGAAGAACACCGGAGGCGAAGGCGGCUGGCUGGGCCUGAUCUGACGCUGAGGUGCGAAAGCGUGGGGAGCGAACAGG